AGUCCAGCAGUGGAUCCCAGGGGAACCUUUGCAUAGAUCCUGCUGUGAUCUCUCCCAGACCCCCCUGGUGACAAGUGCACAACUAACUAGCUGGGAGGAGACAGGCCGCUCCCCCAGAAGCUGUCUUUGGCCUUCUGAAAGCUACAAAGUUCCAUCCCUUUGGCUUAGAGGUGCAUUAAAGAGGAAGGAAAGGAAAGAACGCGAGGAAAAGGAGUGGAAGAAAAGGCGGCUGAAUGAACCUACUCAGAUUACGCUGAGGGACGAGGAGAGAUCCCCUCCACCUCCCCCAACCCAGCAUCAUCACGGUGCUGUCAGACGUGUUUCCAGCGUGGAUGGAGGGGGGGGUGGGCAAACCCCAGCUUCCUAAGGCAUGGCAUCUGGCUUGUGAGCUGGACUGAAGAAGAGGCUGGAAGAUACUGUUCA